rnacentral:rRNA from 1 species
AUGAGAGUUUGAUCCUGGCUCAGGAUGAACGCUGGCGGCGUGCUUAACACAUGCAAGUCGAACGGAGUUUAUACGGAAGGAGUCUUCGGACAACAAAAGUAUAAACUUAGUGGCGGACGGGUGAGUAACGCGUGGGUAACCUGCCUUAUACAAGGGGAUAACAGAGGGAAACUUCUGCUAAUACCGUAUAAAAAUAUUUUACGCAUGUAAGAUAUUUGAAAGAUUUAUCAGUAUGAGAUGGACCCGCGUCUGAUUAGGUAGUUGGUGAGGUAGAGGCUCACCAAGCCGACGAUCGGUAGCCGAUCUGAGAGGAUGACCGGCCACAUUGGGACUGAGACACGGCCCAAACUCCUACGGGAGGCAGCAGUGGGGAAUAUUGGACAAUGGGGGCAACCCUGAUCCAGCGACGCCGCGUGAGUGAAGAAGUAUUUCGGUAUGUAAAGCUCUAUCGAUAACGGAAGAAGAUGACAAGCCGUUAAGGAAGAAGCCCCGGCUAACUACGUGCCAGCAGCCGCGGUAAUACGUAGGGGGCAAGCGUUAUCCGGAUUUACUGGGUGUAAAGGGAGCGUAGACGGCAAAUAAAGUCUGAAGUGAAAUCCCGCAGCUCAACUGCGGAGUUGCUUUGGAAACUUAUAAGCUGGAGUGUCGGAGGGGUAAGCGGAAUUCCCAGUGUAGCGGUGAAAUGCGUAGAUAUUGGGAGGAACACCGGAGGCGAAGGCGGCUUACUGGAAGAUAACUGACGUUGAGGCUCGAAGGCGUGGGUAGCAAACAGGAUUAGAUACCCUGGUAGUCCACGCAGUAAACGAUGAAUACUAGGUGUCGGGAAGGAAUAACCUUUUCGGUGCCGUCGCAAACGCAAUAAGUAUUCCACCUGGGGAGUACGUUCGCAAGAAUGAAACUCAAAGGAAUUGACGGGGACCCGCACAAGCGGUGGAGCAUGUGGUUUAAUUCGAAGCAACGCGAAGAACCUUACCAAGUCUUGACAUGCCGUUGACAUACCCGUAACGGGGUAUUUCCUUCGGGACAACGGACACAGGUGGUGCAUGGUUGUCGUCAGCUCGUGUCGUGAGAUGUUGGGUUAAGUCCCGCAACGAGCGCAACCCUUGUCCUUAGUAGCCAGCAGUAAGAUGGGGACUCUAAGGAGACAGACGGAGAUAAUCCGGAGGAAGAUGGGGAUGACGUCAAAUCAUCAUGCCCCUUAUGAUUUGGGCUACACACGUGCUACAAUGGCGUAAACAAAGAGAAGCAAGAGUGCGAGCUUAAGCAAAUCUCAAAAAUAACGUCUCAGUUCGGAUUGCAGGCUGCAACUCGCCUGCAUGAAGCCGGAAUCGCUAGUAAUCGCAGAUCAGCAUGCUGCGGUGAAUACGUUCCCGGGUCUUGUACACACCGCCCGUCACACCAUGGGAGUCAGCAAUGCCCGAAGUCAGUGACCUAACCGCAAGGGAGGAGCUGCCGAAGGCAGGGCGGAUGACUGGGGUGAAGUCGUAACAAGGUAGCCGUAUCGGAAGGUGCGGCUGGAUCACCUCCUU